rnacentral:rRNA from 1 species
AGUGAACGCUGGCGGCAGGCCUAACACAUGCAAGUCGAACGGCAGCACAGGGGUAGCAAUACCCUGGGUGGCGAGUGGCGGACGGGUGAGGAAUACGUCGGAAUCUGCCUAUUUGUGGGGGAUAACGUAGGGAAACUUACGCUAAUACCGCAUACGCCUACGGGGAAGCGGAGGACCUCGGCUUCGCGCAGAUAGAUGAGCCGACGUCGGAUUAGCUAGUUGGCGGGGUAAGGACCCACCAAGGCGACGAUCCGUAGCUGGUCUGAGAGGAUGAUCAGCCACACUGGAACUGAGACACGGUCCAGACUCCUACGGGAGGCAGCAGUGGGGAAUAUUGGACAAUGGGCGCAAGCCUGAUCCAGCCAUGCCGCGUGUGUGAAGAAGGCCUCGGUU